rnacentral:misc_RNA from 1 species
CGAAAUGCGAUAAGUAGUGUGAAUUGCAGAAUUUAGCGAAUCAUCGAAUCUUUGAACGCACAUUGCGCCCCUUGGUAUUCCAUGGGGCAUGCCUGUUCGAGCGUCAUUUCAACCCUCAAGCACUGCUUGGUGUUGGGCGUUUGUCCCGCCUACGCGCGUGGACUCGCCUCAAAGUCAUUGGCAGCUGUUCCCCUUCGGCUCGUAAGCGCAGCACAGUCGGCGCCCGGAGCUCUGGUGGGAUGGCGUCCAGCAAGCUAUAUUUUCAGGCUUGACCUCGGAUCAGGUAGGGAUACCCGCUGAACUUAAGC